AUGGUCGCGCUUCCACAGUUUGUGAGCGGAUAUCUCCCCGAGAAUCACAUGCGACCCGUCGCUGUUCGUCCGCACGACGGCCACCGCGCGCGGGUCGGAGGGUAUCUUCCAGACGACCUCCAUGGCCGGCGAGGAGGCGUCGACGUGGCAGUAGCCGCGGCUGAUGGCUCCGAGGGAGGAGAUGGACUGAAGCGGGAUCGGCGCGAGGGCGCCCAGGCAGUUGAUGAGGAAGCGGACGAUGUCCUCCCGCGUCAAGCAGCAGUACUUGUCGCAGCCGAACGUCGACGACCACGACCGGCUGACCGUCUGGGUCGCGGCGGCGCGCGGCGUGCCGGUGAUCUUGGGCACGGCCUUGUAGAAGGGCGCGAAGGGCUGCUUGUUGAUGGGGCAUCCUUCCGUGAAGUUCUUGCGGACGAGGACUCGCCUCGCCCCCUGCUUCAUCAGGUCCAUUAUCUCUAUCAACCUGGCGUCGGGCUCGACCUCGCGGACCAGCGCCGGCUCCCGCGGCACCACGUCGCCGACCGGAGUUCUCAUUGCGUCCGCCUCGGCGCCUCCUCCUCUGGCAUGGGAGGCUACGAAGGCGACGACGUCGAGCGAGCUGAGCAGCCCGACGACGGUGGCGGCGAGGGGCGCCAACGGGGAGGCGCCGUCGCGCCAGACGGCCACGGCGGCCUCCGGCGACGACGGGAUGGCCGCGGCGGCCGCGGAGAGCGGCGCGGAGGACGGCACGCCCGCGAGCGACGGCUUGCCGGCGGUGAGGUCGGCGGCUGCCGCGCGGAGGAAGACGAUGUGGGCCAUCCCUGGGCCACGCGCGAUGCUGACCUCUCGUUCUGGUGGGGUCGCCAUUCCUUUCCUGCCCUGUCGCGUUUGACGACGACGUCUGAAACCGGGCGGGCGGGCGCAGGGUUUGCAGGAGAGCGCCCACACGUGUCCUCUUCGUGUGAUUAA
rnacentral:rRNA from 1 species